GUGACCGGGGCCCUUGGCGCGGAGACUUUGCUGGAGGAGAACCUGAAGGACCUGGACGAGUGCUACAACGUCCGCCGCGACAGGGACGGCGUGCAGAAGCCGCGGGUGCCACCCUGAACCCAGCGAGCCCUGAUCCGCAGCCAGGAUCCGGGCGACCCGGAGAUCCAGAUCGUGAGCCAGAGGGUGGGGCUGGUGGAGAGCCGCACGCGACAGGUGGACAGCCACGUGGAGCCGUUCGAGGCGCAGCAGGAGCAGGGCGACGCGGCGGGCGACAGCGUAGGGUCGGCCGGUACCGGCCCAGAGGCGAGGCGACCGCGCAGGCGGAGAAACCCAACAGGAAAGCGCUCCUGGCGGCAGCACAACAACGAGAACCGCGAGAACGCGUCCAACAACCGCGACCACAACGUCACCUCGGCCACGCCCAAGGAAAUGAAAGCGGAGACCUCCAAGAAGAAGCAGCGCUCCUUGGCCAAGACGUAGCGGCAGGCGUCCCCCGCGGACUUCCCCAUCGAUCCCAGCGAGCCCUCCUACUGGGAGAUGAUCCGCUGCGACAACGAGUGCUCCAUCGGGUGGUUCCACUUCUCGUGCAUGGGUCUCAGCGAUAAACCAAAGCGCAAGUGGUACUGUCCCAGAUGCCGGGGAUCGGGGGGAAACGAUGGACAAAGCCCUUGGGAAGUCCAAAAAGACAGGGCUUACAACAGAUAGCUUGGGGACAUGCAUGUAAUAGUGAGGAGAACAAAAUAAACCAAGGUAUUGAUUGAAUUGCCACCUUUGUUGAGGUGCAGGGAGUGUAAAAUGUAUAUUUUUAAAGAAUGUUAGAAAAGGAGCCAUUCCUUUCAUAGGGAUGGCAGUGAUUCUCUUUGCCUUUUGUUUUCAUUGGCAGACAUGUGUAACAACAAAAUGGUCUGUGAUCAACAUUUUAGAAACUACAAAUAUAGGUUUGAAUUAA